CCCUGUGGGGCAGGCAGCCAAGCUAAGUCACAGAGUGGGCAGGUCUGGUGCCUCACCAACCACAGCCCAGCUCCGCCAUGCCAGAGCAGGGCAGAACCAAAGCAGGCUCAUCAGGUGCACGUGUGCUGACAAGGCAGGCCUAAGUGAUGCCACAAAAUCAACGUCAUGCUUUUUCAGCAAUAUGUGAUAAGAUAGUUAAAGUCACCCAUUCCAGGCCAGUCAGUAAAAACAACUACAGAGGAUCCCAUAGCAGCCAUGGGAGAGGAUUGAGCAGGCUUUCAGAAUUUUUCAGGUAAUAUGUGGAUAGACUAUGGCAGUUAAUUUUGCCUAAUUUUCAGAGCAUUUUUGUCAUUUUCAGGCUGCCAAAAGCAUGUGUAAAAUGGCACACAGUGCCAUUACUCAUCCUCUUGUUAAUCAAAAAUGAAAUCACAUUUCAUUAUGACACUACAUAUGGACUCAUUCCUUAGUAGACUAGUUUUGGUGUGUUCACAGCAGAUCGCUCCUUCUUGCUCAAUGAAGUAGUUCUAACUCUUCCUGUUUCUUGAUACUAUGUCCAUGUCCUGAACCUCACUUCUAACUUAGCUGAGUAAC